rnacentral:rRNA from 1 species
UACAGAGGUCCCAAGCGUUGUUCGGAUUCACUGGGCGUAAAGGGUGCGUAGGUGGCGGGGUAAGUCUGAUGUGAAAUCUCCGAGCUUAACUCGGAAACUGCAUCGGAUACUGCCUUGCUCGAGGGUUGGAGGGGGGGACUGGAAUACUUGGUGUAGCAGUGAAAUGCGUAGAUAUCAAGUGGAACACCAGUGGCGAAGGCGAGUCCCUGGACAACUCCUG